GGAGAGAUGCUCGAGUGGUUUAAGAGGCACGCCUGGAAAGCGUGUAAACUUCAAAAGGGUUUCCGGGGUUCGAAUCCCCGUCUCUCCG
rnacentral:tRNA from 1 species